AAGUCGUAACAAGGUCUCCGUUGGUGAACCAGCGGAGGGAUCAUUACAGAGUUGCAAAACUCCCCAAACCAUUGUGAACCUUACCUUCAACCGUUGCUUCGGCGGGCGGGCCACAGCGCCCCCCGGGCCCCCCCAGCGGGGCGCCCGCCGGAGGAUACCCAAACUCUUGAUACUUUAUGGCCUCUCGAGUCUUCUGUACUGAAUAAGUCAAAACUUUCAACAACGGAUCUCUUGGUUCUG
rnacentral:misc_RNA from 1 species